UGGACUGCGAAAAUCUCAACUGAUUUCCAGUC
rnacentral:piRNA from 1 species